rnacentral:rRNA from 1 species
ACGAAGGGGGCUAGCGUUGCUCGGAAUUACUGGGCGUAAAGGGAGCGUAGGCGGACAUUUAAGUCAGUGGUGAAAUCCCGGGGCUCAACCUCGGAAUUGCCUUUGAUACUGGGUGUCUUGAGUAUGAGAGAGGUGUGUGGAACUCCGAGUGUAGAAGUGAAAUUCGUUGAUAUUCGGAAGAACCCCAGUGGCGAAGGCGGCACACUGGGUCAAUACCGACCCUGAGGCUCGAAAGCGUGGGGAGCAAACAG